rnacentral:rRNA from 1 species
GCCCUUAUGGGUUGGGCUACACACGUGCUACAAUGAAAAUGACAAAAAGUAACAAUAAUAAAAAUUUUUAGUUAAUCUUAAAAAGUUUUCUUAGUUCGAAUUGUAAGCUGCAACUCGCUUACAUGAAGGUGGAAUCACAAGUAAUCGCAAAUCAGAAUGUUGCGGUGAAUACGUACCUUGGCUUUGUACACACCGCCCGUCACAUGCAGAGAGUUAGUUUUACUUGAAGUUUUUUUGAUA